CGGCGUCGAGCGGCGGACGGGUGAGUAAUGCCUAGGAAAUUGCCCUGAUGUGGGGGAUAACCAUUGGAAACGAUGGCUAAUACCGCAUGAUGCCUACGGGCCAAAGAGGGGGACCUUCGGGCCUCUCGCGUCAGGAUAUGCCUAGGUGGGAUUAGCUAGUUGGUGAGGUAAGGGCUCACCAAGGCGACGAUCCCUAGCUGGUCUGAGAGGAUGAUCAGCCACACUGGAACUGAGACACGGUCCAGACUCCUACGGGAGGCAGCAGUGGGGAAUAUUGCACAAUGGGCGCAAGCCUGAUGCAGCCAUGCCGCGUGUGUGAAGAAGGCCUUCGGGUUGUAAAGCACUUUCAGUCGUGAGGAAGGUAGUGUAGUUAAUAGCUGCAUUAUUUGACGUUAGCGACAGAAGAAGCACCGGCUAACUCCGUGCCAGCAGCCGCGGUAAUACGGAGGGUGCGAGCGUUAAUCGGAAUUACUGGGCGUAAAGCGCAUGCAGGUGGUUUGUUAAGUCAGAUGUGAAAGCCCGGGGCUCAACCUCGGAAUUGCAUUUGAAACUGGCAGACUAGAGUACUGUAGAGGGGGGUAGAAUUUCAGGUGUAGCGGUGAAAUGCGUAGAGAUCUGAAGGAAUACCGGUGGCGAAGGCGGCCCCCUGGACAGAUACUGACACUCAGAUGCGAAAGCGUGGGGAGCAAACAGGAUUAGAUACCCUGGUAGUCCACGCCGUAAACGAUGUCUACUUGGAGGUUGUGGCCUUGAGCCGUGGCUUUCGGAGCUAACGCGUUAAGUAGACCGCCUGGGGAGUACGGUCGCAAGAUUAAAACUCAAAUGAAUUGACGGGGGCCCGCACAAGCGGUGGAGCAUGUGGUUUAAUUCGAUGCAACGCGAAGAACCUUACCUACUCUUGACAUCCAGAGAACUUUCCAGAGAUGGAUUGGUGCCUUCGGGAACUCUGAGACAGGUGCUGCAUGGCUGUCGUCAGCUCGUGUUGUGAAAUGUUGGGUUAAGUCCCGCAACGAGCGCAACCCUUAUCCUUGUUUGCCAGCGAGUAAUGUCGGGAACUCCAGGGAGACUGCCGGUGAUAAACCGGAGGAAGGUGGGGACGACGUCAAGUCAUCAUGGCCCUUACGAGUAGGGCUACACACGUGCUACAAUGGCGCAUACAGAGGGCAGCCAACUUGCGAAAGUGAGCGAAUCCCAAAAAGUGCGUCGUAGUCCGGAUUGGAGUCUGCAACUCGACUCCAUGAAGUCGGAAUCGCUAGUAAUCGUGGAUCAGAAUGCCACGGUGAAUACGUUCCCGGGCCUUGUACACACCGCCCGUCACACCAUGGGAGUGGGCUGCAAAAGAAGUAGGUAGUUUAACCUUCGGGGGGACGCUUACCACUUUGUGGUUCAUGACUGGGGUGAAGUCGUAACAAGGUAGCGCUAGGGGAACCUGGCGCUGGAUCACCUCCUUA
rnacentral:rRNA from 1 species